UCCAGAAAGAGGAAGAAAUGUGAUUUUAAUACAUAUUUUUAAACUUCAUAUUAUUUUUACAUUAUAUAUUCAUUCCAUCAGCAAAUAUUUUCUAAGCAGGUACAAUUAUGUUCUAGACAAUCAUGAUUCCUAAACAAACAAACAAAAACCCCUGCCUUUAUAGAGCUUGCCUUUUGGUGAUAGCACAUGGUUCAUGUACAACAUAUGGAAAAUGUAAAAGUUUUUAAUUAGGGAAAAUCAAACACUAUCAUUUAGCCACCCCAAGACACCCAGUGUUGGCCAAGCAUGGUAAUCUCAGUCCUGGGGAGGCAAGGCACAGGACUGCCAGGAGUUGAGGGCUAGUCUGAGAGAAAGUGUCAAGACUGAUGUUUUUCUUCUGCUCCGUUUCUUUCUUGUGGUAUUGAGGACUUAACACAAGCUGCCUGCAUGCUAGACAAACACUCUGCCUGUAACUUAACUUGCUCAGGCAGGCCUUGAAGUUUGGAUCCUCUUACGUCUGCCUCUCUUGUAAUUGGGAUUAGAUUUAUACCAGGACUUCCUUGUUUUUUCCUGUUAUUUCUUUGACCUACCUGUACCCAGACAUCUAAACAGUGUACCAACCUGAGAUCUUAUUGUACCCUUGUUUCAUACAGACUCAUACAAUUUUUGUGGGGCAAUUUUUGGAACUGCCAAAUCCUCUUCAUAAAAACUCCUAAGCAGAUUUAUAGGAUGAUUGUUAGUCCAUAGCUCUGGAGUUAUUAAAAAUUCCAAAACAAUAUUUGGCAAUAUAGGCAUGUGCCACUUAACAGUUGGCAAAAGGUGAUUCUGCAAUUAUACAAAUAUCUGGAAUAUACUUGCAGAAAUCUAGGUGAUAUACCACUCAUAUACCAAGUUACAUGUUUGUGCAUGUGUCAUAUAUCUUUUUUUUUGUUUGGUUUUUUGAGACAGGGUUUCUCUGUAUUGCUUUGGAGGCUGUCCUGGAACUUGCUCUGUAGACCAGAGUGAGUGACAGGAUUGGCUCCAAAGCUACACAGAGAAACCCUGUCUCGGGGGGAAAAAAAAAAAAAAGAAAGCUAUGACAGAACUAUGUCAUGGGGACUUUCCAGCUGCAUUAUAGUUUUAUUGGACCAUUGCUUGUGAGGGAGCUAUUGUGUACUAAAAUGCCAUUUUGUGAUAAAUUAAGUAUAUGCUGGAUGAAUGGAUGAGAGAGAAAACUGGGAGAGAAAAGACAAAGAAUUCUACGAACAGGCAAGUGUGGGCAUCAAUAACCAAAUGUCUGAUUUGGGGAAAAGGAAUGAAUUUGAUAUAUUCUCAAGAUGUGGUAUUCACAUGUCUGAGGUACCCAAAAGAGCAACAUGUCCAGACCUCAAUGUCUGAACUAGACAGAGCUUGAUAAAUUUUCCAUUUUAAAUGGCCCACAGCCCAUUUGGCAAAGGCCAGUGGAGCUUAUUUGUCGGGCAAGCUUUAAGAGAUGGGGCCCUGUAGGAGGCUCUAGGUGUUUGGGAAUGUGGCCUUUGAGGGAGACUGUAAGGUCUGGCUUCUCUCUUCCUGCUCACAAGGAGAAUGAUUUUGUUUUGACCUGGCCCCAGGUUGUAUUGCCUCAUCACACACCACACCCCAAAGCAAUGGAGCCCAUCAACCACCAGUUGGCACCUCCAAAGCUGUGAGUCAAAAUAACACCUUUCACGUGAUAAGUUACUGUAGGUGUUAAUAACAAUGCAAAGUUGGAGGAUCCAGGUCUAUUUCACACAUCAGAGAACAAGCAGGAGAUUGGUGGGGUCAAGAGAAUAAGGAGAGGACAGAGGCUAAGAGUUCUAGUGAACUCUCUCUAUCCCAAAAACUUGGCCUUUAAUGUCUUGCUCCAGGGAAGCUUGGGAUGGCUAAAAUAUUUCUAUAUCUUCGGAGGGCUUUCAUCUGAUUUAACAUAUGCCUGAGGUAACUGGAGAAUCCUUCAUAGAGCUAGCUGUUUCACCCCUUGCACCACAGUUCAUCAGUUGAGGCAAUCAAUUUACCUGUGUGUGUUUGCUCCGAUGUCCCUACCUGUACACACCGCUUGCAUUUAGUUUAGAUUUGUCUCCAUAUAAGUUUGAACCAUCUUACAUAAUUCUGAAAGAAAAACACACACUGGGCAUUUAAUAACAGAACUACAAAAUCUCAAAAUCAUGUGCAGAAUAUUCCAUGCUCCCGGAGUCUUAGCAACUGAACAGCAAACCAACUUGGGGGGUAUUUUUGACUCUCAGAAGUCAAAUGAAUCAUUCUAAAAAGAGUUUAGUAAAAACAAAUGUGAACAACACUUUUGGGAUGUCUAGUAUGACCUAGUCAGUAUUCAGGGGCCAUAAAACAAAGAUGAAUAAGAUCAAACCAAGAAUCUAGGAGACAAUUGGAGACACAUCUGAUUCAAGACAUGACACCCAGUAGACUUCAAUCACAGAGCUACUCUGACACCAGUGAAAGAUGGCAAUUCUGCACCUUCAUAACUUGGUCAUCAUAGGGCACUAUUACUUCAUACAUUUGUUAAGCUGAUUUUUGCUGGGUGGUGGUGGUGCAUGCCUUUAGUCCCAGCACUCGGGAGACAGAGGCAGGUGGAUCUCUGUAGUUCAAGGUCAGCCUAAUCUACAGAGUGAGUUCCAUGACAGGCUUCAAAGCUAAACAGAGAAACCCUGACAUGAAAAACAACAACAAUAAAAACAAACAAAAAAAGAAAAAAAAGCUGAGUUUUAGUUAUGAAUAUUCUAUUUUGAUUUGUGGAAAAGCAGAAAUUAAAUGAAACAUUUUUUAAUCCUGAACCUGUUAUUUAAAAAUGCCCAUUCACUAUUUUUUGUUUUUGUUUUUCAAGACAGGGUUUCUCUGUGGCUUUGGAGGCUGUCCUGGAACUAGCUCUUGUAGAGCAGGGUGGUCUUGAACUCAGAAAUCUGCCUGCCUCUGCCUCCUGAGUGCUGGGAUUAAAGGCUGUGCCACAACCACCCAGGGGCAGUUGCCUUACUUAAUUUUUAUUUCAAUUUUUUAUAGUUUUUCUUUGGCAAAAACUUUUUAAUUUCAAGAGUGCUCAUAGUUGCUUCUUGGAGUCAUUUUACCAUGGCUGACAAUUUAUGUCAGUUAAUUCCAACAUUUUUGGUCACUUUUUAAUUUUCUUUCACAAUUUUGUCUUAUGGUUUUGUUUUAAAUCUGUGUAGUCUUGGAUCUCCUGGAAUUUGCUUUGUAGAUCAGACGAGCCUCAAACUCAGAAAUCUGCUUAAUUCUGCUUCACCAGAGCUUGGAUGAAAGGCACUUACCACCAUUGCCUGGCUUGGUUUUUAAAAAAAAAAUUAAAUUUAUUUUACUUUUUUAUGUAUAUUUUACCUGCCUGGAUGUGGAGUGGACAUGCCUGGUGCCAACACAAGUCACAAGAUGGCUUUAGAUUUCCUGGAACUACAGAUGGUUGAGCUGCCCAUGUGAGAGCUGGGAAUUGAACCCAGGUCCUCUGCAAGAAGUACUCUUAACUAUUGAGCCAUUUUUCAUCCCAUACUUCUGUUUCUUGUUGUAAAACUCAGGUUUAUUUAAACCUUACAUUUAUCAUGCUUUUUAGGACAUGGCUUCUGCAGAGAGGGCAGAACCCCACCUUAUUAGUGUUAGAUAGACAUAGAAGCCCGGCUUCCCCUUAGUCUCCAUGGAUACCCACGGAGGGUACUUUCAUGAAUACUGGGCAACACUAGGUGCCCUGGGUGCUCAGGUGGUCUGCCCUGAACCCACAGGGAAGAUGUUCUCAUCCUUGUUGGGUAAUGGGUGUCCUGACUCUCUCCACUGGGCUUCUGUCAAUCCCAGAGAAGACGGUUCUACUUGGCUGUUCAUGACACCACUCCAGAAGACAUCUGGGAGCUUUGGCCUCAUCACAGCCAGAGAAGGUAGAAACUUUGCUUUGUAUUCAGGCAUGGAUGGAGCCAAGACUUUGUUUAUGCUAUUUUUUCUGUGAUGCUUGGCCUGAGCAGUACAGUGUUUUUCUAAGUUUCCAAUCCUCCUUUCCUGUUCUUUUGGCUGGAGAGGGCACACUUUUAUUAGUUUUCUUUGCCUUGCUUUUUUUGGCUGUGCCCACUGGCAUUUCUGGCUUCAUUGGUUCAAAGUCUGUGUAUGUGAAGCAAACAAACAAGCAGGAAAUCUGCCUCCAGGUUCUGAGGUUCCCAGGAUUUUUUCUUUUUCUCCCCACCUGCCAGUCUCUUUAUGUUUUUGUCUUUUACAAAACAUUCAGGGUUUUCGGUUGUCCUUUACACUGUGGGGAAUUGUCCAUUGCUUUCUAGAAGUGGGAGUUUUACGUUAAUUUUGCUUUUUAAAAGCAAUUCAAGAGGGGCUAGAGAGAUGGCUCAGUGGUUAAGAGUGCUUGCUGCUCUUCCAGAGGGUUCAACUUCAGUUUUCAGCACCUAUGUCAGGUGGUUCAUAAGAAAUACACAGAUACAUAUACAUAAAAACCCACAAAUCUUUAAAAAGAAAAAGCACUGCACUAGAAUAUUGCUUAUCUUGAAUUCUAGAGUUUUAGCAAACCAGGUGAAGGCCUCAUCUACCUCAUCUAAGGGCACUUGUGUGAAGGACAUAUUUCAGGUGACUAUCAUAAGACUUUUUUUUUUUUUUUUUUUUUUUGGUUUUUCGAGACAGGGUUUCUUUGUGUAGCUUUGGAGCCUAUCCUGGCACUUGCUCUGGAGACCAGGCUGGUCUCGAACUCACAGAGAUCUGCCUGCCUCUGCCUCCCGAGUGCUGGGAUUAAAGGCAUGUGCCACCAACGCUCAGCCAUAGACUUAUAAAACCUUUUCAGAAAAAAAAAAAAAGUAAAAAUUUGUGUCAGUUUUUUUUU
ensembl:lncRNA